UACGGGGGGGGCAAGCGUUGUUCGGAAUUACUGGGCGUAAAGAGCUCGUAGGCGGUUCGUCGCGUCGGCUGUGAAAUCCCGAGGCUCAACCUCGGGUCUGCAGUCGAUACGGGCGGACUGGAGUUCGGCAGGGGAGACUGGAAUUCCUGGUGUAGCGGUGAAAUGCGCAGAUAUCAGGAGGAACACCGGUGGCGAAGGCGGUUCUCUGGGCAUGUCCUGACGCUGAGGAGCGAAAGUGUGGGGAGCGAACAGG
rnacentral:rRNA from 1 species